rnacentral:rRNA from 1 species
UAAUACUGGAUAGGCAAUUAUUCCUGUAAUGGUUUUUUUGUUUAAAUGUUUUUUCGCCUAAGGAUGGGUCUGCGGCCGAUUAGGUAGUUGGUUAGGUAAUGGCUUACCAAGCCUUUGAUCGGUACGGGUUGUGAGAGCAAGAGCCCGGAGAUGGAACCUGAGACAAGGUUCCAGGCCCUACGGGGUGCAGCAGGCGCGAAACCUCCGCAAUGUGAGAAAUCGCGACGGGGGGAUCCCAAGUGCCAUUCUUAACGGGAUGGCUUUUCAUUAGUGUAAAGAGCUUUUGGAAUAAGAGCUGGGCAAGACCGGUGCCAGCCGCCGCGGUAACACCGGCAGCUCUAGUGGUAGCAGUUUUUAUUGGGCCUAAAGCGUCCGUAGCCGGUUUAAUAAGUCUCUGGUGAAAUCCUGCAGCUUAACUGUGGGAAUUGCUGGAGAUACUAUUAGACUUGAGAUCGGGAGAGGUUAGAGGUACUCCCAGGGUAGAGGUGAAAUUCUGUAAUCCUGGGAGGACCGCCUGUUGCGAAGGCGUCUGACUGGAACGAUUCUGACGGUGAGGGACGAAAGCUAGGGGCGCGAACCGGAUUAGAUACCCGGGUAGUCCUAGCUGUAAACGAUGCGGACUUGUGU